rnacentral:rRNA from 1 species
AGAGUUUGAUCAUGGCUCAGAACGAACGCUGGCGGCAGGCUUAACACAUGCAAGUCGAACGCACCUUUCGGGGUGAGUGGCAGACGGGUGAGUAACGCGUGGGAACGUGCCCUUCAGUUCGGAAUAACCCAGGGAAACUUGGGCUAAUACCGGAUACGUGCGAGAGCAGAAAGAUUUAUCGCUGAAGGAUCGGCCCGCGUCUGAUUAGCUAGUUGGUGAGGUAAUGGCUCACCAAGGCGACGAUCAGUAGCUGGUCUGAGAGGAUGAUCAGCCACAUUGGGACUGAGACACGGCCCAAACUCCUACGGGAGGCAGCAGUGGGGAAUAUUGGACAAUGGGCGCAAGCCUGAUCCAGCCAUGCCGCGUGAGUGAUGAAGGCCUUAGGGUUGUAAAGCUCUUUCGUCCGGGACGAUAAUGACGGUACCGGAAGAAGAAGCCCCGGCUAACUUCGUGCCAGCAGCCGCGGUAAUACGAAGGGGGCUAGCGUUGUUCGGAAUCACUGGGCGUAAAGGGCGCGUAGGCGGCUUGAUAAGUCGGGGGUGAAAGCCUGUGGCUCAACCACAGAAUUGCCUUCGAUACUGUCUGGCUUGAGACCGGAAGAGGUAAGUGGAACUGCGAGUGUAGAGGUGAAAUUCGUAGAUAUUCGCAAGAACACCAGUGGCGAAGGCGGCUUACUGGUCCGGUUCUGACGCUGAGGCGCGAAAGCGUGGGGAGCAAACAGGAUUAGAUACCCUAGUAGUCC